UAAAUUGCGCCCGUAGAAGGUUGUUAAGUGUGAUACUUAACAUUAAAAGGGAAUACGGUGGAACUGAAUUUUCAGUCAAAUCCGUAGCUGCCCCCGCAACUGUAAACAUGAAGAUAAUCACAGCAAAUACCACUGGAUAAACGAUAUCUGGGAAGGUUUGUGAUUGUUGUUGAUAUGUGAGCCAGGAGACCUGCCGCUGCAAACUAACCACU
rnacentral:ncRNA from 2 species